AUGGCCGGCAGGAUCGGCGACACCCCGGUCAUCGGCGCCGGCACCUACGCCAACGCCCUCUGCGCCGUGUCCACCACGGGCAAGGGUGAGGACAUCAUCAGGCACACCGUGGCGCGCGACAUGGUGGCGGUGAUGGAGCACCGGGGCCUCUCGCUGGAGGAGGCCGCCGCGCGCGUCGUGGCCGGCGUGCCCCGGGGCUCCGUGGGGCUCGUGGCCGUGUCGGCCGCCGGGGAGGUCACCAUGCCCUACAACACCACGUGGAUGUUCAGGGCGUGCGCCACCGAGGGCGGCUACUCCGAGGUUGCCAUAUGGCCUGCAUGA
rnacentral:rRNA from 1 species